rnacentral:rRNA from 1 species
AGCAGCCGCGGUAAUUCCAGCUCCAAUAGCGUAUAUUAAAGUUGUUGCAGUUAAAAAGCUCGUAGUUGAAUUUCGGGAUCAAUCUGCCGGUCGUGCCUCCGGUAUGCACUGGUUUUAUUGGUUUCUCCCUUCUGACGAAUCAUGAUGUCAUUAAUUUGGUGUCAUGGGGAAUCAGGACUGUUACUUUGAAAAAAUUAGAGUGUUUAAAGCAGGCUCACGCUUGAAUACAUUAGCAUGGAAUAAUGAAAUAGGACGUUUGACCCUAUUUUGUUGGUUUCUAGGAUCGACGUAAUGAUUAAUAGGGAUAGUUGGGGGCAUUAGUAUUCAAUUGUCAGAGGUGAAAUUCUUGGAUUUAUUGAAGACUAACUACUGCGAAAGCAUUUGCCAAGGAUGUUUUCAUUAAUCAAGAACGAAAGUUAGGGGAUCGAAGACGAUCAGAUACCGUCGUAGUCUUAACCAUAAACUAUGCCAACUAGGGAUCGGAUGAUGUUAUUUUUUAAUGACUCAUUCGGCACCUUAC